rnacentral:rRNA from 1 species
AGACACGGUCCAGACACNUACGGGUGGCAGCAGUCGAGAAUUUUNGACAAUGGGGGAAACCCUGAUCGAGCGACGCCGCGUGGAGGAUGAAGGUCUUCGGGUUGUAAACUCNUGUCAUUNGAGAACAAGGUGCACCGGUUAACUGCCGGUGCAUUGAUAGUAUCAGAAGAGGAAGAGACGGCUAACUCUGUGCCAGCAGCCGCGGUAAUACAGAGGUCUCAAGCGUUGUUCGGAUUCAUUGGGCGUAAAGGGUGCGUAGGUGGCGCCAUAAGUCGGGUGUGAAAUCUCGGGGCUUAACUCCGAAACUGCAUUCGAUACUGUGGUGCUUGAGGACUGGAGAGGAGACUGGAAUUCAUGGUGUAGCAGUGAAAUGCGUAGAGAUCAUGAGGAAGACCAGUGGCGAAGGCGGGUCUCUGGACA